rnacentral:rRNA from 4 species
UGGUGGGUAGUUUGACUGGGGCGGUCUCCUCCUAAAGAGUAACGGAGGAGCACGAAGGUUGGCUAAUCCUGGUCGGACAUCAGGAGGUUAGUGCAAUGGCAUAAGCCAGCUUGACUGCGAGCGUGACGGCGCGAGCAGGUGCGAAAGCAGGUCAUAGUGAUCCGGUGGUUCUGAAUGGAAGGGCCAUCGCUCAACGGAUAAAAGGUACUCCGGGGAUAACAGGCUGAUACCGCCCAAGAGUUCAUAUCGACGGCGGUGUUUGGCACCUCGAUGUCGGCUCAUCACAUCCUGGGGCUGAAGUAGGUCCCAAGGGUAUGGCUGUUCGCCAUUUAAAGUGGUACGCGAGCUGGGUUUAGAACGUCGUGAGACAGUUCGGUCCCUAUCUGCCGUGGGCGCUGGAGAACUGAGGGGGGCUGCUCCUAGUACGAGAGGACCGGAGUGGACGCAUCACUGGUGUUCGGGUUGUCAUGCCAAUGGC